rnacentral:rRNA from 1 species
GAUCAUGGCUCAGGACACGCUGGCGGCGUGCCUAACACAUGCAAGUCGAGCGAAGCAUUUGAAAGCUUGCUUUUUAGAAUGGACUGAGCGGCGGACGGGUGAGUAACGCGUGAGCGACCUGGCCUUUACAGGGGGAAUAACAGUUGGAAACGACUGCUAAUACCGCAUAACACAUCGAGGGGGCAUCCUCUUGAUGUCAAAGAUUUAUCGCUUAUGGAUGGACUCGCGUCUGAUUAGCUAGUUGGUGAGGUAGAGGCUCACCAAGGCGACGAUCAGUAGCCGAACUGAGAGGUUGAUCGGCCACAUUGGGACUGAGACACGGCCCAGACUCCUACGGGAGGCAGCAGUGGGGAAUAUUGCGCAAUGGGGGAAACCCUGACGCAGCAACGCCGCGUGAAGGAAGAAGGUUUUCGGAUCGUAAACUCCUGUCCUCAGGGAAGAGCAGAAGACGGUACCUGAGGAGGAAGCCCCGGCUAACUACGUG